rnacentral:rRNA from 1 species
GCGUGUGUGAUGAAGGCCCUAGGGUCGUAAAGCACUUUCGCCAGAGAUGAUAAUGACAGUAUCUGGUAAAGAAACCCCGGCUAACUCCGUGCCAGCAGCCGCGGUAAUACGGAGGGGGUUAGCGUUGUUCGGAAUUACUGGGCGUAAAGCGCACGUAGGCGGAUUAGUAAGUUAGAGGUGAAAUCCCAGGGCUCAACCCUGGAACUGCCUUUAAUACUGCUAGUCUUGAGUUCGAGAGAGGUAAGUGGAAUUCCGAGUGUAGAGGUGAAAUUCGUAGAUAUUCGGAGGAACACCAGUGGCGAAGGCGGCUUACUGGCUCGAUACUGACGCUGAGGUGCGAAAGUGUGGGGAGCAAACAGGAUUAGAUACCCUGGUAGUCCACACCGUAAACGAUGAAUGCCAGACGUCAGCAAGUAUACUUGUUGGUGUCACACCUAACGGAUUAAGCAUUCCGCCUGGGGAGUACGGUCGCAAGAUUA